rnacentral:rRNA from 1 species
GACGAACGCUGGCGGCGUGCCUAAUACAUGCAAGUCGAACGCAGUGGGGACGGGUGAGUAACACGUGGGUAACCUCCAAUCAGAGGGGAUAACACUUGGAAACAGGUGCUAAAACGAUAUUGAUGUAUGGACUCGCUGUUCAUUAGCUAGUUGGUGAGGUAAAGGCUAACCAAGGCCACGAUGCAUAGCCGCCCUGACGGGGGGAUCGGCCACACUGGGAUGGAGACACGGCCCAGACCCCUACGGGAGGCACCAGUGGGGAAUCUUCGGCAAUGGAAGAAAGUCUGACCAAGCAACGCCGCGUGGUUGAAGAAGGUUUUCGGAUCGUAAAACUCUGUUUUUAGAGAAGCGGUAUCUAACCAGAAAGCCACGGCUAACUACGUGCCAGCAGCCGCGGUAAUAC